AGAGUUUGAUUAUGGCUCAGAACGAACGCUGGCGGCAUGCCUAACACAUGCAAGUCGAACGAAGGCUUCGGCCUUAGUGGCGCACGGGUGAGUAACGCGUGGGGAAUCUACCUAUCAGUGGGGGAAUAACGACGGGAAACUGUCGCUAAUACCGCAUACGCCCGGAAGGGGAAAGAUUUAUCGCUGAUAGAUGAGCCCGCGUACGAUUAGCUAGUUGGUGGGGUAAUGGCCCACCAAGGCUACGAUCGUUAGCUGGUCUGAGAGGAUGAUCAGCCACACUGGGACUGAGACACGGCCCAGACUCCUACGGGAGGCAGCAGGUGGGGAAUAUUGGACAAGUGGGACGAAAGCCUGAUACCCAGCAAUGCCGCGUGAGUGAUGAAGGCCGUUAGGGUUGUAAAGCUCUUCGGGUGGGACGAUGAUGACGGUACCACCAGAAGAAGCCCCGGCUAACUUCGUGCCAGCCGCAGC
rnacentral:rRNA from 1 species